rnacentral:rRNA from 1 species
AACGAACGCUGGCGGCAGGCUUAACACAUGCAAGUCGAGCGCCCCGCAAGGGGAGCGGCAGACGGGUGAGUAACGCGUGGGAACGUAUCUUUUGGUUCGGAACAACUCCGGGAAACUGGAGCUAAUACCGGAUAAGCCCUAACGGGGAAAGAUUUAUCGCCGAAAGAUCGGCCCGCGUCUGAUUAGCUAGUUGGUGAGGUAACGGCUCACCAAGGCGGCGAUCAGUAGCUGGUCUGAGAGGAUGAUCAGCCACACUGGGACUGAGACACGGCCCAGACUCCUACGGGAAGCAGCAGUGGGGAAUAUUGGACAAUGGGCGCAAGCCUGAUCCAGCCAUGCCGCGUGAGUGAUGAAGGCCUUAGGGUUGUAAAGCUCUUUUGUCCGGGAAGAUAAUGACUGUACCGGAAGAAUAAGCCCCGGCUAACUUCGUG